CUUGCUUCUCUUGAGAGCGGCGGACGGGUGAGUAAUGCCUAGGAAUCUGCCUGGUAGUGGGGGAUAACGUUCGGAAACGGACGCUAAUACCGCAUACGUCCUACGGGAGAAAGCAGGGGACCUUCGGGCCUUGCGCUAUCAGAUGAGCCUAGGUCGGAUUAGCUAGUUGGUGGGGUAAUGGCUCACCAAGGCGACGAUCCGUAACUGGUCUGAGAGGAUGAUCAGUCACACUGGAACUGAGACACGGUCCAGACUCCUACGGGAGGCAGCAGUGGGGAAUAUUGGACAAUGGGCGAAAGCCUGAUCCAGCCAUGCCGCGUGUGUGAAGAAGGUCUUCGGAUUGUAAAGCACUUUAAGUUGGGAGGAAGGGUUGUAGAUUAAUACUCUGCAAUUUUGACGUUACCGACAGAAUAAGCACCGGCUAACUCUGUGCCAGCAGCCGCGGUAAUACAGAGGGUGCAAGCGUUAAUCGGAAUUACUGGGCGUAAAGCGCGCGUAGGUGGUUUGUUAAGUUGGAUGUGAAAUCCCCGGGCUCAACCUGGGAACUGCAUUCAAAACUGACUGACUAGAGUAUGGUAGAGGGUGGUGGAAUUUCCUGUGUAGCGGUGAAAUGCGUAGAUAUAGGAAGGAACACCAGUGGCGAAGGCGACCACCUGGACUAAUACUGACACUGAGGUGCGAAAGCGUGGGGAGCAAACAGGAUUAGAUACCCUGGUAGUCCACGCCGUAAACGAUGUCAACUAGCCGUUUGGAAGCCCUUGAGCUUUU
rnacentral:rRNA from 1 species